rnacentral:tRNA from 1 species
AGCCCUGGGGUGUGAGCAUAUCAAAUUGCAAGUUUGAAGAAGAGCCUUAAAGAGGCUCCGGGGCUU